GCCUGGGUGGCUCAGUGGGUUGAGCGUCUGACUUCCGCUCAGGUCAUGAUUUCCCAGGCCAUGAGUUCAAGCCCCAUCUCGGGCC